rnacentral:rRNA from 1 species
GACAGAGGUGCCAAGCGUUAGGCGGAAUCACUGGGCUUAAAGCGUGUGUAGGCGGAAUGGUAAGUACCUUGUGAAAUCCCACGGCUCAACCGUGGAACUGCUUGGUAUACUGCUUUUCUUGAGCCACUUAGGGGCAACCGGAACAAACGGUGGAGCGGUGAAAUGCGUAGAUAUAGGGAAGAACACCAAUCAGGCGAAGGCAGUUAACUAUUCUAUUCCUGACAUUGAGGCAUGAAAGCGUGGGGAGCAAAACGG